rnacentral:tRNA from 4 species
CGGAAUGUAGCUUAAUGGGUAAAGCAGCGCAGUUAAUGACUCUUUGCGGAGCGAUCGAGGUUCGAAUCCUCCCAUUCCGA